AUACGUAGGGUGCAAGCGUUAAUCGGAAUUACUGGGCGUAAAGCGUGCGCAGGCGGUUUUGUAAGACAGAGGUGAAAUCCCCGGGCUCAAACUGGGAACUGCCUUUGUGACUGCAAGGCUAGAGUACGGCAGAGGGGGAUGGAAUUCCGCGUGUAGAAGUGAAAUGCGUAGAUAUGCGGAGGAACGCCGAUGGCGAAGGCAAUCCCCUGUGCCAGUACUGACGCUCAUGCACUAAAGCGUGGGGAGCAAACAGGAUUAGAUACCCUGGUAGUCCACGCCCUAAACGAUGUCAACUGGUUGUUGGGUCUUCAUUGACUCAGUAACGAAGCUGACGCGUGAAGUGGACCGCCUGGGGAGUACGGCCGCAAGGUUGAAACUCAAAUGAAUUGACGUGG
rnacentral:rRNA from 1 species